rnacentral:rRNA from 1 species
GAUGAACGCUGGCGGCGUGCUUAACACAUGCAAGUCGAACGGUGAAGCAGAGCUUGCUCUGUGGAUCAGUGGCGAACGGGUGAGUAACACGUGAGCAACCUACCCCGGACUCUGGGAUAAGCGCUGGAAACGGCGUCUAAUACCGAAUGUGCUCCCCUCACACCAGUGAGGGAUGGAAAGGAAGCUUCGGCCUCCGCAUUGGGAUCGGCCCGCGACCCAUUAGCUUGUUGGUGAGGUAACGGCUCACCAAGGCUGCGAUGGGUAGCUGGUCUGAGAGGACGAUCAGCCACACUGGGACUGAGACACGGCCCAGACUCCUACGGGAGGCAGCAGUGGGGAAUCUUGCGCAAUGCGCGAAAGCGUGACGCAGCAACGCCGCGUGGGGGAAGAAGGCCUUCGGGUUGUAAACCCCUUUCAGGAGGGACGAAGCCUUGGCGGUUAAUAGCCGACCGAGGUGACGGUACCUCCAGAAGAAGCCCCGGCUAACUACGUGCCAGCAGCCGCCGUAAAAC